CAAAUCUGCAACAGUCAACUGGUAUCUAGGGGAAGUGUCUGAGAACUAAAACUUGGCCCAAGAUGAGAAACAAGCAUUCUCCAUUUAGUAUUUCAGAGAAAACCAGUGGUCAAAUAUUUUCCUUGUCCCAUGUCCAACAGUUAUUGCUUCUUUAUCCAUCAAGCUUAUGCAAUUUUCCAGCCGCGUUAGCAGAAGGGAGGAUACUUUGCACGCCUGUAACUGCUUCCUUUGAAUGAUCUCAAAUGCUUUAAGCUUUGGGCCUCCAAAGCAUGAGAUAGUAUUCCUGCUGCCUCCAUUUUGCAGCAGCUCUACCCAAGGACUGCUCCAUUCCUCCGUGGGACACAGAGGUGAUGCAGCAUGCCCCAGCAGCCCUGGACUCAGCCAUCCCCAGGAAUUUGGAUCACCAAAGAGCCAGCCCAGCCCUGCUGCCAGUGAGGUGACAGAUCCCUGGCACUGGAGCUACACUUGAGCUGCUCAUGAGCUGCUUGUGGCUGGAGAGGAAUGUCUGCAGAGAGCUAAACCAGAUUGCUUGUAGAUCUCUUCCAAAUGGCUCGCCUCUAAUCUAGUGGGUAAUUAGAGUGUAAAUGUACCCUGGGAGCUUUCCCCCCGCUGCAGUAUAGUAACCUGAUAGGAAACAUAAGAACACUGAGUUUGUGCACAGAUAUUAGGAGGUGGCUGCACUGGAGAAACCUUGGGAUGCUGCUGGUGCCUUAAGCAGUGCAGAAAAUGUCAGAGCCUCCUACAUAUAUUCUUUCCCUUCUCAUAUGACACAUCUGCUUCAGUUACCUGUUGGAUGCUAUAGACCCACUACAGCCUCUGCAGCAGCUCAGCAAUGGCCCAAGUGAGAGCUGGGACUCCAGACUAAGCCUGUAAAUACAAAGCUUACAAAUAUUUGCUCAGAGACCUUCUAGAAAGAGUCAGACGGUUUCAAAAUUUCAACAAAGCUGACAUUUUGACAUUGCCCUUAUUUUUGAGGCCCACACCUACCGCAGGGAGGAAAAAAAAAGAGUUUUCAGUUGGUAUUUCCAUUAUCCUGCCUACAUCUCAACCAACUGCUUCCAGCUUUUGCAGAAAUUCUGGACGCCCAUCUCACGUGUCCAGCAUCUCACUCUUCCCAAGCGUAGGCUGAAAAAUGCCACUUUCCUCCACUAUUAAAUCUAAAGCUGACUACACCCAUGUGUCAGCUGUUUACCAUCCUCUGUCCCCUCCCUUUGGGCAGCUGACCAGGGAUAAUGACCUAUACUCUUGAAGUAUUCGUUUUAUUUAGUAUUACAGAGAAGGAGGGUGAAAGCCAACAAGCAACCUAAGAAUAUAACCAUUCCCACCAUAUCUUAUUGCAAAUAGAGGGAUCAGCUUGCCUCUUUGCUUGUGGGAACACAACAGAAAAAGCCAGACUUCAUCUGAGCUCUUUCCUGCUCUGCCUUUAACCUAACCAGACUGGUUCCAUUCAUGCUUUACCUUUGGGUAUGAACAAAAAGCUACCUAGCCUUGCCUUAGCUGCAUUGACACUACUCUGGAGACGCCUGCAUGAGAUGAUCAUUUUACACAAGUGAUAGCAACACAGAAUCCAAAUGUCAGGAAGCAUCUGAGAGUGCAACAACUUUAUCAUAGUCACCCAGACAAUUGCACCAGUUGAUGCUGCUGGUGUUGAGCACCAACCGUGGGGAUCUGGGAGUGGUGCACACCCUGCAUUGAGCCUCACCCCACGAUGAGACAGGCAGGCAAUUGAGAAAAAUAGCACCCUGGCCCCUUCCUGCAGUUAGAUCAUUAUAAUGGGUAAAUAUUUUCUUAGAUAGGGAGCUGAGAUAAGGGACUUCUGAUGUCUGAAAUGGAAUUUGAACUCAGGACUAUCCCUGUCUUGUAGUUCUUCGUAACAUGCUUUUACCAACUAAACACCUUCUUCCCCAGAAUAGCCGGGAAAUUAAGUGGGAACUUCUUAAUAGCUAAAGGUGAAGGCAUGGAUCUCAUGGAAUAAAAUAAUUUUGAAUAACA
rnacentral:lncRNA from 1 species